UACAGAGGGGGCAAGCGUUGUUCGGAAUUACUGGGCGUAAAGCGCGCGUAGGCGGGUUUGGCAAGUCGGAUGUGAAACCAGAGGCUCGAACCUCUGGCCGUGCAUCCGAAACUGCCCGACUAGAGGUAGGUGAGGGGAGAUCGGAAUUCCUGGUGUAGCGGUGAAAUGCGCAGAUAUCAGGAGGAACACCGAGUGGCGAAGGCAGGUCUCUGGGCCGAUACUGACGCUGAGGAGCGAAAGCGUGGGGAGCGAACAGG
rnacentral:rRNA from 1 species